CCUACGGGAGGCAGCAGUGAGGAAUAUUGGACAAUGGGCGCAAGCCUGAUCCAGCCAUGCCGCGUGCAGGAUGACGGUCCUAUGGAUUGUAAACUGCUUUUAUACGAGAAGAAACACUCCGACGUGUCGGAGCUUGACGGUAUCGUAAGAAUAAGGAUCGGCUAACUCCGUGCCAGCAGCCGCGGUAAUACGGAGGAUCCAAGCGUUAUCCGGAAUCAUUGGGUUUAAAGGGUCCGUAGGCGGUUUAAUAAGUCAGUGGUGAAAGCCCAUCGCUCAACGGUGGAACGGCCAUUGAUACUGUUAAACUUGAAUUAUUAGGAAGUAACUAGAAUAUGUAGUGUAGCGGUGAAAUGCUUAGAGAUUACAUGGAAUACCAAUUGCGAAGGCAGGUUACUACUAAUUGAUUGACGCUGAUGGACGAAAGCGUGGGUAGCGAACAGGAUUAGAUACCCUGGUAGUCCACGCCGUAAACGAUGGAUACUAGCUGUUGGGAGCAAUCUCAGUGGCUAAGCGAAAGUGAUAAGUAUCCCACCUGGGGAGUACGUUCGCAAGAAUGAAACUCAAAGGAAUUGACGG
rnacentral:rRNA from 1 species